rnacentral:tRNA from 1 species
GGGGAUCUAGCUCAGUGGUAGAGCACUUGCCUAGCAAGCGCAAGGCCCUGGGUUCGGUCCCCAGCUCCA